rnacentral:lncRNA from 1 species
UGAAAGAGGCAAUAUGGACGCAGGGGAUAUUUUCGGUACAGAACGAGCACCGACUGUCUGCUGCCCUGGCCCCUGGGGGUCAUGUAUCAGAGGGAGAGGAAGAGAAGCCAAUGGUGCAUGGGUACCGGUGCGGACGGACAGCAGGAUCCCUGGGCGCCCAGCAAAGAUGGGACCAUAUGACGGGCCAGGGUCCCUGGGAGCGGUGGCCCCAAUUGAACGUGAAAGGGUGAAGGGUUUGGUCCAGCUGUGGAAAAGACAUGGAAGAUGGGGAGGCACAGGCAUCCUGGGAGAGACCCGGGGCUGAGGAGGAGUCGGCUCGUGGAUGGGACCCCGUUUCUGUGCCUGCCCCCGACCCUGGGCACUGCCACCACCAAUGCCCUCUUUUCUCCUGACACCCCAGGCUGCCUUUGUCUCUUCCAGGCUAAGACCCAGCUUCUGUUCAGCCUCCACUACACCUGCCUCUGGGAAUAUCAAGUCCUGGUCCCUUGGACAUUCUGACGCAAGGAACGCUUUCUGCUGCCCCUCCCAUGAAGGGCCACCCCGGGAGGCCUGGGAGCCUCCACUGCCCUCCCAGAGGGGUGUGAGCAUCCAGGAGUGCAUGAGAGAAUCAGCGCCCUGCCAAACCUUGACCAGGGAGCCGUGGUGUCAGGAAGGAGGUGCCCAGUGCUACCUGUCCCGCCUGCUGCAGCCUCUCACGCU